rnacentral:rRNA from 1 species
UACGUAGGGCGCAAGCGUUGUCCGGAUUUAUUGGGCGUAAAGAGCUCGUAGGCGGUCCGUCACGUCGGGUGUGAAAUUCCAGGGCUCAACCCUGGACCUGCAUUCGAUACGGGCGGACUAGAGUUCGGUAGGGGGAGACUGGAAUUCCUGGUGUAGCGGUGGAAUGCGCAGAUAUCGGAAGGAACACCAGUGGCGAAAGCGGCUUCCUGGUCCAGCACCGACGUUCAGGCACGAAAGCGUGGGGAGCAAACAGG